CCUACGGGGGGCUGCAGUGGGGAAUAUUGGACAAUGGGGGGAACCCUGAUCCAGCCAUGCCGCGUGUGUGAAGAAGGCCCUCGGGUUGUAAAGCACUUUCAGUGAGGAAGAACGCCUGGUGGUUAAUACCCAUCAGGAAAGACAUCACUCACAGAAGAAGCACCGGCUAACUCCGUGCCAGCAGCCGCGGUAAUACGGAGGGUGCGAGCGUUAAUCGGAAUUACUGGGCUAAAGCGCGCGUAGGUGGCUUGAUAAGCCGGUUGUGAAAGCCCCGGGCUCAACCUGGGAACGGCAUCCGGAACUGUCCAGCUAGAGUGCAGGAGAGGAAGGUAGAAUCCCCGGUGUAGCGGUGAAAUGCGUAGAGAUCGGGAGGAAGACCAGUGGCGAAGGCGGCCUUAUGGACUGACACUGACACUGAGGUGCGAAAGCGUGGGUAGCAAACAGGAUUAGAUACCCUUGUAGUC
rnacentral:rRNA from 1 species